AGUAUAAAAAUUGAGACAAAAAAGAACUCAUUAAGUGGAUGUAUAUCAGAAGCAUUGGAAGAGUUAAUGAUGUACUUUGAAUUGUUAGGCAAGACAUUUUGCAGAAGGAUGAAGAUAUAAGGAAGAAAGCUUCUUCUAGGUUUAAAGCAGGGUGAUUCAUCUUUGGAGUGCUCUGCAGUUGCAAAGGCUAUUAAUACUACAAGAAAAGUCUAUAAAAUAGUUAUAAGCCAGCUCUAGUGCAUAUAUCAAUUUUCAUGCACAUGAAAACAGCAAUAUGAGGAUGCUCGGGUGCAAGUGUAGUAAAACUAGAUAUAUAGACGUCCAAUAACUGUACUUGAAGAAGACUAGAGAUGGCCUUGAUAGAGGAUAUCAAAACAAGGUGAUGGAAUUUACUUAAAAAAGAAAAAAAAUGGUGAGGGAAAUUUCCUUCAGUCAGACUUGUUAGAUAGGCUGGAGAUAGUCUGAAUGAGGCGGGGGU
rnacentral:lncRNA from 1 species